UACGGAGGGAGUUAGCGUUAUUCGGAAUUACUGGGCGUAAAGCGCACGUAGGCGGCUUUGUAAGUUAGAGGUGAAAGCCUGGAGCUCAACUCCAGAAUUGCCUUUAAGACUGCAUCGCUUGAAUCCAGGAGAGGUGAGUGGAAUUCCGAGUGUAGAGGUGAAAUUCGUAGAUAUUCGGAAGAACACCAGUGGCGAAGGCGGCUCACUGGACUGGUAUUGACGCUGAGGUGCGAAAGCGUGGGGAGCAAACAGG
rnacentral:rRNA from 1 species